rfam:Otolemur garnettii contig146091, whole genome shotgun sequence.
GCGCAUGUGGCUCAAAGGAGUAGGGAGCUGGCCCCAUAUGCCAGAGGUGGCAGGUUCAAACCCAGCCCUGGGCA